CUCCCCUUGCCAGGGAGCUCUCAGGCGAGACAGCCUGCUCCAUCUGCAGGAGCCAUCUUUUUAUUGCAUUGUGUCUGGUCUUGCUCUGGCUUCCUGCAGUAGCCGGGUUGCAGUGCGCUCAGAAAGACGCUGUCUGGCGUUAGCAGUGAGCCCAGGCUGCAGGAAGUGGCUGGUUUUGCUUGGACACAGCGUGCCAGUAAAUGGUGCAAACUGCCACACACACAGACAAGAAGCUGCAGUGCACAGACCAGCAGAAACCAAACAGAAGUCACAGAGAAUAAAGACACACCAGGCCUAGAAGGAAGGGACUCGGCAGAGGAUGAAGAUGACGACGACACAGGUCGGCACCUCUCAUGGGUUCCAAAUAAAACCGAGGAAGCCGUGUUUCCAUGGUUUAGGGUUAUCACACCAGCAGGAGCACUAUUUCUCUGCACUGCAAGAAGUGCGGUAAGAGGGAAAACAUCACCUGGGCUUACUUACCACAGUGCCCCACACAACAGCAAAGGAUAUGCUGAGAGGAAGCCAUCAAUGACGGCAGGUCUCUCAGAAGAAUAUCAGUUUCUUUUUCUUAGCUGAGCAAGAACUUUCUGUGUCCAACAUCAGACCAGCUUCAGUGCUGAUAUAUGGUUACUAUAAAAGAGCUCUAGGGACAGAAACAAACUCUGCAUCUUUCCACUGAGGAGGCAAGAGGUCAGCAUACUUGUAUCAUGACUGGAAGAUCACAGCCUAGGUUAGCUGUAAUACACUGGAAGGAUUUGGGGCAAACACGUCUUGCUGAGUGCAGCACAGUCUGUGGUCAGACAUCUCACCUGGAAAGCAGCUGCAAGUCUGUAGCGAUUAGAGUAACGUGACAAAUGUGGAAUGUGAACUGAGGAAAGAAGCUGGACAGCUUAUUUCCUCUCUGACUAUAGACUGUUAGUAAAUGUUACACUUACAAUCUGACUGACUGCAUGCUAUGACUGUGCAGUAGGUAACUUGGCUAGAUUCAGCCCUAGUGUGUAUAUCCCCUCCAUGAACUCCCUCCAAAUCUAUAAGACCACACAUGACCCAGGUUCCACACUCAGACUGAGAACAGUAGUUUGUCAAAGCAUGUAAGAUUCCCCAUAAUAAACUUCUCAAAUUCCAC